rnacentral:lncRNA from 1 species
AUAGGAAAUGGUGCCCUCGGUACUCAAGUGGAAUGGGCACACUAAACUGGUGUCUCCCAGUUUAAGGACCGUGGGCUGACCAAGUUCUCCUUAGAAUUGUAGACACUAAUGAGCAAUCCCAGGACCAUCGAUUUGUCCAACAACAAGAUGGACAACCUACCACUUUUGCUGAUACAAAAGUUCACUCUGUUGAAGAACCUCCCCCUGAACAACAUAAACUGGUCUGCCUAAUGAGAUUAUGCAAUCCUAAAAAAAUUCUAGAGAUGCUACGCCUAAAUGGCAGUCACCUGAGAGAGCUGCCAUCUACCUUUGGGCAACUCUCUACCCUCAAGACCCUGAGCCUCUCUGGGAACCAACUGGGAGCGCUAUCACCCAACUUUGUAGCCUAGGCCACCGGAUGUGGUGGAUCUUUCCAAGAACCAGAUCUGAAGUAUACCUGACAUAGUAGGAGAGCUGCAGGUCAUCAAACUCAUCCUCAACUGGAAGAAGAUAUCUCAGGUCUCAAUAAAGAUAUCUGGCUGUCCUUGCCUUAAAAUUCUUCACCUGGAAGAGAACUGUCUUGAGCUCAGCAUGCUUUCACAGAGCAUCUGCAGUGAUUGCCAGAUCUGUCCACUUGAUAUGGAAGGUAAUCUUUUUAAAAUAAACUUCAAUAAGUACAUGGAGAGGUUCAUGGCCACCAAGAAG